GAGGAGAGAAACGGGAGGCAUGGCUCCAUUCUGCAGUAACUCAACGCCUUUUCCGAUUGCUCAUGCUCCGACAGCACGACCCUCCGCAUCAGCACUCUCCUCUAACUCUGCGCGCGCGAGUGUGUGUGUGUGUGUUUGUAUACUGCAUGUGCGAACAUGGGGGCUGGUCUGCGCGCGCAUGCAUGUGUCCUGGCAAAAGCAUGAAUAAUUGAUGAGCAGGGGAAGGAGUGAAAGCGCUACCGGACGGGACAGUGUGUGUGUGGCAGUGUGUAGUGAUGGGGGAGAAGGAUGCUGCGUGGCAGGAGCCUGGCUACGACGGGCUAUGCAACUACGCCCAAAGAAUCACCUCCUGCUUCGGACUGGAUGUGGGUCAUGCGCAGGACACACACCACCACUCCACGGAGAAGCCACUGAUUCAGUGCUACAAGUGUGGCGAGCCAUGUAAGGGCGAGGUGCUGCGGGUACAGAACAAGCACUUUCACCUCAAGUGCUUCACCUGUAAAGUGUGCGGCUGUGACCUCGCCCAGGGGGGCUUCUUCAUGAAGAAUGGAGAGUAUCUCUGCACGCUGGACUACCAACGCAUGCACGGGACACGCUGCAAUGGCUGCGGGGACUUUGUGGAGGGGGAGGUGGUCACUGCGCUGGGCAAGACCUACCACCCUGCCUGCUUUGUGUGCACCAUCUGCAAACGACCGUUCCCCGCCGGGGACAGGGUGACCUUCAACGGGAAGGAUUGCCUGUGUCAGUACUGCGUUGAACCCAUGUCUCCAGGACCAAAGGAAAUCCUGGGGUCCAGCAAUUGUGCAGGAUGCGGUCGAGACAUUAAGAAUGGACAGGCUCUGCUAGCUUUGGACAGACAGUGGCACCUGGGCUGCUUCAAGUGUAAGGCCUGCAACAAAGUGCUGACUGGGGAGUAUAUCAGCAAGGACGGCGCCCCCUACUGUGAGAAGGACUACCAGAUCCAUUUUGGAGUUCAGUGUGAGGCGUGUCAUCAGUUCAUCACAGGGAAGGUGCUAGAGGCAGGAGAUAAGCACUACCACCCGAGCUGUGCGAGAUGCAGCAGGUGCAAUCAGAUGUUCACAGAAGGAGAAGAGAUGUAUCUGCAAGGAUCCACGGUAUGGCAUCCUGGCUGUAAGAACACCACCAGAACAGAGGAGAGACACAGGGAGCAGCCCACAAGGUCGUCGUCCGAGAGUAUUUGUUCCAGGCCUGCUUCAAGCAUACCCGGCUCACCAGGUCACACGAUCUAUGCAAAAGUAGACAAUGAGAUCCUUGAUUACCGAGACCUAGCUGCCAUUCCAAAAGUCAAAGCCAUUUAUGACAUUGAGCGUCCUGAUCUUAUUACCUAUGAACCGUUGUACACCACUUCCCUGGAUGAGAGAGAGGAGAGAGGACAGAGUGUGGGAGAGCUCCACACUGCCAGGAGGGAGCGUUCCCCCAUGCUUGAUGACAAGUGCUCAAGAAACAUGUCGCCAACGCCAUCUGUUGAGGGCUCUUAUGACAGGAGAGAACGAGUCCUCCAAAGGUCUACCAGUCAGGGCUCCAUAGGAUCACCAGUUUAUAAUCGCCAUGGUUACACGCCCACCCUGCCACGGUCACCACAGCAUUUUCACAGACCAGAGGCUCUUACUGGCAUGCAGAAACUCUGCUCCUCUUUGUGCAGUAACAGUGUGGGCUCCAGAAAUAGUGACUCCCGCCCCACUUCCCCUUUCAGACACCACUUCCUUCCUCAUAGCCAAGGCACUGACCCGCCGAGUGGCCGGAGCUCCCCCCUCCCGUUUAGGCCCGACAGCCGGUCGGUCACCCCGCCUCUAUCUCAGACCCCUAAACAUUUCCACCUCCCAGAUCAGGGGAGCAACAUCUACAGAAAACCACCCAUCUACAAACUACACGAUACCGAUGCCAUAGCCCGUCAAAGCAAGUCUGCUGAUGAGAUCAUCAGAUCCGCCACCUUCCCUGCUGCCCAUGCGCCCUCUCCAGAUGACAGCUGGCAGAGUGAGGGCGACCUUUGGCCCUGCUCUCUCACUGUGUUAGGUUCAGAAGGGAGGAGAAGAUCCAGAGAAGAGGAGGAGGAAGAGGCCUUGAAAAGAAAGCAGCUCCACGAGGAACAUCUGAGCAAGAUUCAGUCCGGUCUGGGAAAGCUCAUCCUGAAGGAGGAGAUGGAGAAAGAGCAGAUCAGAGAGCGCCAUGGACGUAGCCUCUCUGCCCAGCGCUACGACCCCAAACAGACCAACUGUGACGCAGAUCCAACUUCUCCGACCAAAACCAACUCUCUGCCCAGCUACGGGAGGAAUGGGCUGCACCGGCCCCAGUCGACAGAUUUCACCCAGUACACCAGCCAUGGCGACAUGUGUGGAGGAGGCAGAGCACAUUAAGGAUGGCCGUGCAGCACUUGCAAGGAUGGACAGGGGAGUAUCUAUGCCUAAUAUGUUGGAACCAAAAGUGUAUCCCUAUGAAAUGCUCAUAAUAACCAGUAGAGGGAGAGCUAAACUGCUCAGGGAUGUGGACAGAACCAGACUGGAGGUAUCAGAUUUCCACCUGUCUGCCCACAAUUGAUACUGGAUUUCUCCACUUUGUCGCCACUUAGCACCUGAAAUGUUCUUUGACAUCUUUGGAAUGGAGAUGAAGGAGUUUGACAGGCUUCCCCUGUGGAAGCGCAACGACAUGAAAAAGAAGGCCAAUCUCUUCUAGAACUCAGAACAGCAUGCACAUACUGUACAUUCAUUUAGAUAGCACACACCAACUGGAAUCUAGAUGUAGGCUUUUUGUUUAUUUCCUUUUCUUCGGUUCUUUUGUUUUUCCCUGCCAUAAUCAAGGAAACCAUGAAAUGGACCCUAUUUUUGUUGCUGUGAUGCAUCCUGAAACUGUGCGUUGAAUGAUUUGUCCAGAUGGACAUGCACCGGAAACCAGGAAUGGGAAUCACUUCUAUGUAAAAAAAUGACAAAUAAUGGGAAUGAAUGAUAAAUGGGGUCUUUUAUUUGUUUUGACAGCGUUUUACUCCUUGCUUUGCUGUGAGUGGAACUGUUCUUUCUUGCUUUUUUCUUUCUGUUUGUUGCUGUUGAUUCCUGUGGAACUUUGUAAGUUCAGUAGAAACUCAUGGCGCCAUUACAAAAUGUCCAUGCUUGUAGCUUGAACAUGUGUCAGCUUUCCUUCGCUUGGGCUGAAACCAUUUUAGUCCAAAGUUAGCAAGAAUCGGCUCAGUGAGUCUUUGAAUACAAUUUUUUUUAAACCGCUGUGAAAGCAGUCUGCAGACCCACUAACUAUUUUACUGGAUCUACAUGGAAAUUAAUCAUCAGAGCACCUACACAUCGCCAGUCUCCUUCCCUUGGCUACUGUACACGCCAAACAUUCACCUGACCCCCACAAAAAGAACAUGUCUCUCUUCUCAGGCUCUCAUAAACAUAGCCAGACACUUUCCCUUUACAUGUAUUGGAAGAACAAAUAUAUUUUGAUGCCAUAUCCAACAUACAGUAGCCAACAAAUAGAUAAAACACUUCAUGUCAGAAACAACUGUAUUUGAAAGUAAUGUUUUAUAAAUGAGAACCCACACUGCCAUUUGUUGUAUUGAAAUCAAGCCAAUAAAGCUUUAAAUCACUAUGAA